rnacentral:rRNA from 1 species
UACAGAGGUGGCAAGCGUUGUUCGGAAUUACUGGGCGUAAAGGGCGCGUAGGCGGCCUUGUGAGUCAGACGUGAAAUCCCCAGGCUUAACCUGGGAACGUGCGUCUGAUACUGCAAGGCUCGAGUGCGGGAGAGGGAUGUGGAAUUCCAGGUGUAGCGGUGAAAUGCGUAGAUAUCUGGAGGAACACCGGUGGCGAAGGCGGCAUCCUGGACCGACACUGACGCUGAGGCGCGAAAGCU